rnacentral:misc_RNA from 1 species
UCAAACUUGGUCAUUUAGAGGAAGUAAAAGUCGUAACAAGGUUUCCGUAGGUGAACCUGCGGAAGGAUCAUUAAUGAAAAACAAAUGCUUGAAGGGAUGGUUGUAGCUGGCCCCCUUGAGGGGGGGCAUGUGCACGCCUUACUUCAUGCAAAAAAUCCACCUCUUAUACACCUGUGCACAACCUGUAGCUGGAAACCCUGCUAUGAAUUUUUACACACACUCUUAACAAAAAAAAAAUGAUGGUGAAUAUAAUGAAAUACAACUUUCAGCAACGGAUCUCUUGGCUCUCGCAUCAAUGAAGAACGCAGC